rnacentral:rRNA from 1 species
UACGUAGGGUGCAAGCGUUGUCCGGAAUCACUGGGCGUAAAGGGCGCGUAGGUGGUGGCUUAAGCGUGCGGUGAAAGCUCGGGGCUCAACCCCGAGUCGGCCGUGCGAACUGGGCUCACUGGAGCAUAGUAGAGGCAGGUGGACUUCCGGGUGUAGCGGUGGAAUGCGUAGAGAUCCGGAAGAACACCGGUGGCGAAGGCGGCCUGCUGGGCAGUUGCUGACACUGAGGCGCGACAGCGUGGGGAGCAAACAGG